rnacentral:rRNA from 1 species
UUGCAGGCUGCAACUCGCCUGUAUGAAGUCGGAAUUGCUAGCAAUCGUGGAUCAGCAUGCCACGGUGAAUACGUUCCCGGGCCUUGUACACACCGCCCGUCACACCAUGAGAGCCGGGGACACCCGAAGUCCGUAGUCUAACCUAUAUGGAGGACGCGGCCGAAGGUGGGUUUGGUAAUUGGGGUGAAGUCGUAACAAGGUAGC